GUUGGGGGAAAUAGUGGUCAGUCGGGUUAGGAAAAAAGACAUCAUCCCUUGAGGUAAAAGAUUAGGUUUGCUUCCUUUUACUCCCAAAAUCUUUUUACCGUGGAUAAAAAGAAUCAUCAAUGGGGCUAUAAAAGAAACCAAAUUUAAAUUUACCUCAAGGAAUCUUGAUGUCUUUUUCCCCAACAGGACUGAUCACUAUUUUCCCCAAG
rnacentral:pre_miRNA from 1 species